GUGCCCACUUGGGCAACACAUAUACUAAAAUUAGAACAAUACAUAGAAGUUCAGCAUGGUCUUAGAAAAGGAAGAGACACAAAUUCAUGAGAUAUACCAUAUAUUU